AGAGAGAGAGAGAGAGAGAGAGAGAGAGAGAGAAGAAGAAGAAUGGAGAAAACUCACCUGAGCUCGUCGCCGGAUCCACCACACGCCAGGACGUCAUCAAGCUCGUCACCACCAUCAUCCGCAACCAAAGACUACCAUCGUGUUCCUCUCGUCGAGACGAAUCCGUAGCCACCAAAAACGUCUCAAUCGGAGCCCGGACGAAGCCGCUAGAGCCUCCCAAAGUUUCUCCUCUGCGCGGGCGUGAAACGCACGCGCCGUCGCCGUCUGCCGGAGCCACCGCGCAUUCCGGCCACUCGCCGCCGUCUCCGACCAACGUUCGCUGGAGCCGCCGUGACCGGCCACCGUCCGUUCGCCGCCGAGAAGCUGCCGCCGUCGCCGCCGGUGACCGACACCGGUAACUCGCCGGUGACUCGGUCAACUCGUCCGAGUCAACUCAGCGAGUCAACUCGGUUGACUCGGUUAACCGCUGGUUUGACCGGUUUAAAUUGAUUUCGUUUCGGUUAGGGUAAACCGGUCGGUUAGGACAAAUUGAUUUCUGGUCAAGGGUUGACCGGAUUGACCUUUGACCAGCGAGUUGACUUUUCCAUAAACCUUGACCAGACCCGUUUUAAACCGUUCGAAAUGCAUUCUAACUCGAUUUUUCGCCCUGAUUUCAGAUUUGGAGUCUAUUUGAGCAUCUGGAGUUCAUAGAUACCACUUCUUCUUGUUGCUAAGGUGAGGGCUAUUCCGUUAAAUCCCGAGCUAGUUUAGUACUACCAUUAUGGAAAGUUUAGUUUCGAAACAUGAUCCGUCUUUGUGAAUCGAGUCUAUUUGAGAGUCUUGCUUGUUCAUUAUUGAUAUUGAUUAUUAACUGGAAUUAGGAUAAUAGAGGAUUCAACGAUUGUGUGAAAUGAUUGAUGCUAAGAACUGAUAUAUAUAUGUAUAUACAUAGUUAUGAGUAGGGAUUAUGUGAUGAGGGCGUGAGUUCAGAGAUGUCUGAGCUUCGACGCUACGGUGUGGUAUGGGCGUGAGUUCAGAGACAUUUGAGCUUCGACGCUACUGUUUGGGGCGUCGUGCAGAGACGUUUGCAUUCGAUGCUACGAUGGGCGGGGGUACAGAGACAGACUGUACUAGCUACGCUUCGAGUAUAUGUAUAUAUCCUUAUGAGUAGAUGCGUGGUGCAGAGAGUAGCUAUGUACUAUAAGCGCAUGAGUUGUAACGGCUAGUCCUCUAGCCGAAUAUUGAUUGUUAUGUGUGGUGUAAUAGGCACCGUGUUUGUUUCAUGCUAGAGCUAGGCCUACAUUUUAGUAGUGCUAUGAACUCAGUCUGUGGUUUGCGGUUUAGCAUCCCAUACCUCGCUCUGCAACUCCCCUGUUGCUCACCCCCCCCCUUCUUUCCCCCUUUCAGGUGAGACCGACGAGCAGGAGUGAUUAUCGGACCGGUGCUAUUGGGCUUUUGGGCUUCUAUCGCUUUUACCGCUUUUAUCUUUAUCGGGCCUUUAGGCCUUUGAACUUUUAUCGUUUAUGUUAUUCCUAUUUCAGACUUUCGGGUUAUGUCGUAUUUUAUAUUUCGUAUGUUAUCGAUGUUGGGCUUUUAGGCCUUUUGGUAUCGUAUUGACUUUUAUAUUAUGAUAUGAAGAUUAUUAUUAUUUCAGUA